rnacentral:rRNA from 1 species
CCUACGGGAGACAGCAGUGAGGAAUAUUGGUCAAUGGACGCAAGUCUGAACCAGCCAUGCCGCGUGCAGGAAGACGGCUCUAUGAGUUGUAAACUGCUUUUGUACGAGGGUAAACGCAGAUACGUGUAUCUGUCUGAAUGUAUCGUACGAAUAAGGAUCGGCUAACUCCGUGCCAGCGGCCGCGGUAAUACGGAGGGUUCAAGCGUUAUCCGGAUUUAUUGGGUUUAAAGGGUGCGUAGGCGGUCGGAUAAGUUAGAGGUGAAAUCCCGAGGCUCAACCUUGGAAUUGCCUUUGAUACUGGUAGGAUAGAGAGUAGUUGAGGUAGGCGGAAUGUAUGGUGUAGCGGUGAAAUGCUUAGAGAUCAUACAGAACACCGAUUGCGAAGGCAGCUUACCAAGCUACAUCUGACGUUGAUGCACGAAAGCGUGGGGAGCAAACAGGAUUAGAUACCCCAGUAGUC